AUACGGCCAUAUAGCGUUGAAACAGCUCUUACUGUACGAACGCCGAAGUUAAGCAACGUCGAGCUUGGUCAGUACCUAGAUGGGUGAACGCUUGGGAAUACCAGGAGCUGUAA